AUGGAGUUCCACUACCGCGCCGGCGACGAGCGCUGUCCGUCGGCGGGGGCCGCUGCUACGUCGGCCAACUCCGAGACGGCAGCCACGCACGUGCCUAAUGUUCUCGUCGCCGGCGACGGCGCGGGGUACCACGGGGAGAACUCACCGCCGCCGGCGUCUGAUCCGGACGAGCUGCGGCGCCGGGCGGCGAAGGAGAGGAUAAGGGCGCGGAUCCUGCGGGAGGAGGCGGAGGCCAUGGCGCUCGAGGCCGAGGUCCGCCGUGAGCUCAUGGAGGAGCGCGCCAGGUUGCUCGUGGGGCUGGCCGGCGUGUCCGAACAUGGGGCGGCGCCAUCGCUGAAGACAGCGUCGCCGUACUUUCAUGAGUCUGUGCAGGCCGGGUCGAAAGUAGACGUGUCUGCUGCUGUGCCAGGCAAGCGGAAAAACCCUGAUGUACAUGAUGCAUCUGCUGUUUUGGCGGCCACCGGAAGCAAGAAGCCGAAGUCAGGCCUGACUUGCACGGUGUGCAACAUCACGGCAACCAGUGAGGUUGCCCUGCAAGAGCACCUCGGAGGGAAGAGCCACGGGAAGAAGGCCGCUAAACAUACGCAGCCAUCGCCUGGAACAGGUCAACCAGAGGAGGAUGCGUUCAGCUUGAAGGUAAAUAGGUCGGCAGCCUUACCGGCCAAGGGGCAAAACCCUGGUAUUGUUGCCCCUUUGAUGGCUUUCGCUGAAAAAAGUUGCGACAACUUGGGCUUGAACUGCACGGCAUGCGGCAUCACAGCAAGCAGUCAGAAGAACAUGCAAGAUCACCUCAAAGGGAAAAUUCAUAUGAGGAAGACUGCCAUGCUCGCGCAGCCAUUGCCUAAGAAGGAUGGGGUCUGCUCAAAACCAAAUGCAUCAGCAGCCGUGCUACCGGCCAAGCGGAAGAACUUCGACGUUGUCCCAGCCACAUCCACCCUUUCAGCCGGGCCAAGCAGCAAGAAUCAGAAGCGAGACUUGACCUGCACGGCAACCAGCGAGAAGGGCACGAAGGAUCACCUCAAAGGGAAGGCUCACAUGAAGAUGGCGGCCUCGCUUGCCCCUGGGGAAGCGGAGGAAGAGGCAGAGGUGGAAGGCGGCUACACGCCGAGGAAGUUCCAUAUGCUGACAGACUCCGGGACAUUGUGCGAGGUGGUGCAGCUGAACGGCUCCAUCCUCUGCGAGGUGUGCGACGUGCAGACCGCUGACAUUGUUACCAUGAUGUGCCACCUACAGGGGACCAAGCACGUAUCCAAGCAAGCCAAGCAGAAGCAGUGCGAAGCCGUGGAACCACCGGCAGCCGUCGCUGCUGGUGGCGACGGGCCAGGAUCAGAAAUGGUGCCCGUGGGGGGCAAUGACGUGGGCCGGGUGGACGGUGGCUCCCUGCUGUGCGAGCUCUGCAACGUGAAGGUGCCGUCGGAGUGCGCCAUGCAGUCUCACCUGUCCGGCAGGAAGCACACCAACAAGGCAAAGGUGGCUGCAGUUGGUGUCGGUGCAUGUGGCAAUGGGUCAGCAUCAGAAACUGUGCCCAUGGAGGCGAAUGGCGUGUGCCGACUGGACGGCGGCAUCCUGCUGUGCAAGCUCUGCGACGUCAAGGCCCCGUCGGAGUGCGUCAUGCAGACUCACCUGUCCGGCAGGAAGCACACCAACAAACAGAAGGCCACCGUUGAAGCCGGUGCAGGACAGGGGGUGAAGAAGGCUGCCGCCGCCACUAUGAUCGGCAGCCCAUCCAAGGAAGCCACCUCCAUCGUCGUCAAUGGCAGUGAUGACUCGGUGAAGAAACCAGCAGCAAGAGAGAUGGAGGUAGCUGUGUCAUCGGCAGGACAGGGGGUGAAGAAGGCUGCCGCCACCCCCGGGAUCGGCAGCCCAUCCAAGGAAGCCGCCUCCAUCAUCGUCAAUGGCAGCGAUGACUCAGUGAAGAAACCAGCAGCGGGAGAGAUGGAGGUAGCUUUGUCAUCGGCAGGACAGGGGGUGAAGAAGGCUGCCACUGCCAUGAUCGACAGCUCAUCCAAGGAAGCGGCCUCCAUCGUCGUCAAUGGGAGCGAUGACUCCAUGAAGAAACCAGCAGCGGGAGAUAUGGAGGUGGUAGUGUCAUCGGCAACGCCUCAAGUGGAUGUUGCCGCCCCGGUCUGCGCCCGUGUCUCCUCCGUGGCCCCAAUGGAAGUAGAUGAAGGUGCAGGGGCCGGACAUGGUGCUGCCAAAGCUGAAGAACAAAAGAAAGCUGAUGCCGAGGAAGAGGGAGCCGUGGAGAUUGACGGAGGCCCCGCCGUGACCGGCGAGGAGUAUUACAUCAAGGUGGAGGGCAAGCUGUUCGUCACGCUGCGUCAGGCGGACGACAGCCUCUCGUGCAGCCUGUGUGGCGUGCACGGCUGCGACAAGCGCGGCAUGAUCAGUCACCUCUACACCAGGGACCACUGGCGCAGAGCCCGUCUCGCCGAGGAGAAGAAGCGGGCACCGGAGGCAGCGCUAGAGGCGGUGAACAAUGGCGGCGACGGCGUCCCGGUCACUGAUGGAGCGGCUCAGGUUGACAACUGA
rnacentral:rRNA from 1 species